GUGUUUACGAAAGCUGCAAUUGGUCACUAAGAGCAUCGAGAAAUGGCCCAACAAACACAUUCAUAAUCAGGAGGUUCUCAAAUAUGCACACAUGCCCCAUAAAUAUUAGGCAUGAAGACCAAAGGCAAGCAACAUCGAAACUGAUAGGGGAAUGCAUAAAACCGAAGUUCUUGAACAUAAAGACCAAGGCAACAGCGAUGGACAUAAAAGGGGAGUUGAAAUACAGAUAUGGCAUCAAAAUGAACUAUAUGAAAGCUUGGAGAAGUAAGGAA